rnacentral:lncRNA from 1 species
UUUCUUCCUUCCUUCUGCAGGGGUAGGAAGUCGUAGGCUUCCUGUUAGAGAUAAAUUUGCCGAGAAUAACUCAUCAUACAUGUGAUUCAGCGAUAUUAAAGAGAGGCCGAGAAAGUAGGAAAAGUAAACCAGUGAGAGGAGGAAGAUGGGAAAGAAGAAAGGGGAAGGAAGAAGCAAAAGGAAAAGUAAUAAAAUUAGAUCAAGAGGAGAUUAUGAAAAAGAGAGCUGAACUUGUAAAAGAAAAAAGAGGGGGAGAGACUGGAGAGCGAGGAGGAGAGAGCGAGAAAGACAUCGAAACUGAAGAAUAUUCACUUUAAACACGAGAAGGUUGACACAAGCAAGCUGCUUUUAAUUUUUAUGUUAACCCUAAAUGAAAGAGAAACUAAAAUGUGAAGGAGAAAAAGCUUCUAUUUUAGAAGCCUCAAUAUAAUACAUUUAAAGAAAUAUUUUUGUUGUAAAAUGUGUAAAUUGUUUUUGGAAUUAUCUUUUCAAACCAUGUACCUAGAUUUUCUGUAUAUAUUUUAUUAUGUGAGCACAG